rnacentral:lncRNA from 1 species
CCUUAUUUUUCUCAUCCCCUUUGUCCUCCUUCCUUUCUUGUUCCUUCUCUUCAGCUUCCCCGCCCCCUCCUUUUCUGGGGAUUGUACCCAGGGCUUAUGCUUUAUAGGCAAACACUCUACCCAGAACUAUGAAAUUCAUUAAGAGAUUUUAUUGCUCCAGAGUAAGAAUGUUUGUUUUUAAGCAUCUUUCAGUUUUAUCAUUAAUCCUUUCUGUGUACACUAGUAGGGAGGGAGCAUUCUCAAUAGCUGAAACUAGUGUUUCAGCUGCUAUGGAGAGAGAAGCCUCUGGUGUAUGGGUGAGAGGAACAAAUGAGAGCCUUAGUGGGGCUGGGGAGAUGGCUUGGUUGGUAAAUUGCUUGCCAUCCGAGGAUGAUGGUCUGAGUUCAGCAUCCACAUAGAAAAGCCAGAGAUGGAGCAGCUGCACAGACCUAAUAAUCUCAGUGCAGGAGAGGCAGAGACUGAAGUCAGUCUAGCUAAGUCAGUUAGCUUCAGGGAGAGACCCUGUCUCAAGUAUAAGCUGGAGAGUAAUUGGGAACGGCAGUUGAUGUCAACCUCUGGUUUGGUUGGUUGGUUUGGUUUGUCCACAAGAGGACAAGAGUGAAUCACAAGGCCUUCUCUCUCUCUCUCUCUCUCUCUCUCUCUCUCUCUCUCUGUCCUCACUGAAUGCUAGGACAUGCUCCAGUUCUCUCCCAAGAUAUCACCUGAUUCUGGAUUUCUUUGUACUUCUGAAUUUGUGCAGGUUGGAAGCAGUUUGCCAUGGGACUUUGUCAGAGUGUGAGACUGAGUGCCUGAGGUUGCAGAGAUGUUGUAAAGAGGAGGUCUGUCCAGCGGUUCAACCUAGCCCGAAGGAACGAGUCUGCUUUUUCUUGUUCACACAACUAAUAUUGGCCAUCAGUCUAGGUGGCUCACUUGCUUGGAGAGAUACUAAGGAAGACUCUACUUCUGAAGUACAGAUAGACUUCUGGAGAGUGCCUGGAAGUAGUAAAAUGAAUCCAAAAGUUGUGGGCAUAAUCUUGUUAAGGUGCUAUUUCUACUGUGGACAGUGGAAUCUACACAGGAGAAAAGAAUCAAAAGGAAAGUCUGAUCUUUUAUCCUUCCAUGGAGGUCAUUAUUAUACUGUAAAAGGAUCCCAGGUCAUCCUAUCAGCACCAAGGCAGAGGAUCACUGCUGAACUGGAGCCAGGAGUAGGAGCAAGUGACUCAUACAAGAGGAAGACUUGGGUUUACCUGUGAAGCGAACAUCAUUUUUAAUGAAACAACUCAGAGGGAGAUGACUGGACCAGUUUGACUUUCUUGUUGCUGUGGCACAAUGCCUAGCAAGAGCUACUUACAAAGCAGCACCGUUUAUUCUGACUCCCAUUUCAAAAGUUACAGGUUCAUGGCCAGUGGUGAGGCAGAGUAUCACAGUGGUUGCAUAUGGUGGGAUGGAAGGA